rnacentral:rRNA from 1 species
GACGAACGCUGGCGGCGUGCUUAACACAUGCAAGUCGAACGGAAAGGCCCUGCUUUUGUGGGGUGCUCGAGUGGCGAACGGGUGAGUAACACGUGAGUAACCUGCCCUUGACUUUGGGAUAACUUCAGGAAACUGGGGCUAAUACCGGAUAGGAGCUCCUGCUGCAUGGUGGGGGUUGGAAAGUUUCGGCGGUUGGGGAUGGACUGGCGGCUUUUCAGCUUGUUGGUGGGGUAGUGUCUUACCAAGGCUUUGACGGGUAGCCGGCCUGAGAGGGUGACCGGCCACAUUGGGACUGAGAUACGGCCCAGACUCCUACGGGAGGCAGCAGUGGGGAAUAUUGCACAAUGGGCGGAAGCCUGAUGCAGCAACGCCGCGUGCGGGAUGACGGCCUUCGGGUUGUAAACCGCUUUCGCCUGUGACGAAGCGUGAGUGACGGUAAUGGGUAAAGAAGCACCGGCUAACUACGUG